rnacentral:rRNA from 1 species
CACGUGAGAAACCUGUCCCGGACUCUGGGAUAACUCGGGGAAACCCGAGCUAAUACCGGAUACCCCCGGCGGACCGCAUGGUCUGCCGAGGAAAGUUUUUCGGUCUGGGAGGGUCUCGCGGCCUAUCAGCUAGUUGGUGAGGUAACGGCUCACCAAGGCGACGACGGGUAGCUGGUCUGAGAGGACGAUCAGCCACACUGGGACUGAGACACGGCCCAGACUCCUACGGGAGGCAGCAGUGGGGAAUCUUGCGCAAUGGGCGAAAGCCUGACGCAGCAACGCCGCGUGCGGGAAGACGGC